GACGAACGCUGGCGGCGUGCUUAACACAUGCAAGUCGAACGGGUCUGCCCUGUUUUUUGCGGGGUGGGUCAGUGGCGAACGGGUGAGUAACACGUGAGUAACCUGCCCCUCCCUUCUGGAUAACCGCUUGAAAGGGUGGCUAAUACGGGGUGUUCUGGCUGUGCCGCAUGGUGUGGCUGGGAAAGAUUCACUUUUGUGGUGUUUUGGUGGGGGAUGGGCUUGCGGCCUAUCAGCUUGUUGGGGGGGGGGUGGCCUGCAAAGGCUUUGUCGGGUAGCCGGCCUGAGGGGGGGGGCGGGCACACUGGGACUGGGGUACGGCCCAGACUCCUGCUGGAGGCAGCAGUGGGGGGUAAUGCACAAUGGGCGGAGGCCUGAUGAAGCGACGUCGCGGGAGGGAUGGAGGCCUUCGGGUUGUGAACCUCUUUCGCCGGUGAAGAAGGUCCUGCUCUUUGUGGUGGGGUUGACGGUAGCCGGGUUAUGAAGCGCCGGCUAACUACGUG
rnacentral:rRNA from 1 species